AUUGAACGCUGGCGGCGGGCUUAACACAUGCAAGUCGAGCGGGGGAAGUUGCUUCGGUAACGGACCUAGCGGCGGACGGGUGAGUAAUGCUUAGGAAUCUGCCUAUUAAUGGGGGACAACAUCUCGAAAGGGAUGCUAAUACCGCAUACGCCCUACGGGGGAAAGCAGGGGAUCUUCGGACCUUGCGUUAAUAGAUGAGCCUAAGUCGGACUAGCUAGUUGGUGGGGUAAAGGCCUACCAAGGCGACGAUCUGUAGCGGGUCUGAGAGGAUGAUCCGCCACACUGGGACUGAGACACGGCCCAGACUCCUACGGGAGGCAGCAGUGGGGAAUAUUGGACAAUGGGGGGAACCCUGAUCCAGCCAUGCCGCGUGUGUGGAGAAGGCCUUAUGGUUGUAAAGUACUUUAAGCGAGGAGGAGGCUCCUGUAGUUAAUACCUACAGAGAGUGGACGUUACUCGCAGAAUAAGCACCGGCUAACUCUGUGCCAGCCGCCGCAGUAAGAC
rnacentral:rRNA from 1 species